rnacentral:rRNA from 1 species
AUUGAACGCUGGCGGCAGGCCUAACACAUGCAAGUCGGUCGAGCGGCGGACGGGUGAGUAAUGUAUGGGGAUCUGCCUGAUGGAGGGGGAUAACUACUGGAAACGGUAGCUAAUACCGCAUACCAUCACAUGAACCCAUAUGGGAUUAGCUAGUAGGUGAGGUAAGGGCUCACCUAGGCGACGAUCCCUAGCUGGUCUGAGAGGAUGAUCAGCGACACGUGGACUGAGACGCAGCCCAGACUGGUACGAGAGGAAGCGAUGGGGAAUAUUGCACAAUGGGCGAAACCCUGAUGCGGCCAUGCCGCGUGUAUGAAGAAGGCUUUCGGGUUGUAAAGUACUUACAGACGGGAGGCGUUACCGACAGAAGAAGCACCGGCUAACUCCGUGCCAGCCGAAGCGGUAAUAC